AUUGAACGCUGGCGGCAGGCCUAACACAUGCAAGUCGAACGAGUGGCGGACGGGUGAGUAAUGUCUGGGAACCUGCCUGAUGGAGGGGGCUAACUACUGGAAACGGUAGCUACUACCGCAUACCAUCGGAUGUGCCCAGAUGGGAGUAGCUAGUAGGUGGGGUAAAGGCUCACCUAGGCGACGCUCCCUAGCUGGUCUGAUAGGAUGGCCAGACACACUGGAACUGAGACACGGUCCAGACUCCUACGGGAGGCAGCAGUGGGGAAUAUUGCACAAUGGGCGAAAGACUGAUGCAGCCAUGCCGCGUGUAUGAAGAAGGCCUUCGGGUUGUAAAGUACUUUCAGCGGGGAGGCGUUACCCGCAGAAGAAGCACCGGCUAACUCCGUGCCAGCAGCCGCGGUAAUUC
rnacentral:rRNA from 1 species